CCUACGGGUGGAUGCAGUGAGGAAUAUUGGUCAAUGGCCGGAAGGCUGAACCAGCCAUGCCGCGUGAAGGGCAGGGCCCUAGGGGCGUUAAACUUCUUUUGUGCGGGAGCAAGAAUGGUCACGUGUGGCCAGACGAGAGUACCGUACGAAUAAGCAGCGGCUAACUCCGUGCCAGCAGCCGCGGUAAUACGGGGGAGGCAAGCGUUAUCCGGAUUUAGUGGGGUUCAAGGGGGCGGAGGCUGGGAGGUAAGUCAGCGGUGAACUGCCCCCGCUCAACGGGGUGAAGUGCCAUUGAUACUGCCUUGCUGGACUGCGGAUGCCGUGGGAGGCAUGUGUGGUGUAGCGGU
rnacentral:rRNA from 1 species